AGGACGAACGCUGGCGGCGUGCUUAACACAUGCAAGUCGAGCGAGGCCCCUCCUUCGGGAGGGUGUCCUAGCGGCGAACGGGUGAGUAACACGUGGGCAACCUGCCCUCAGCUCUGGGAUAACUCCGGGAAACCGGGGCUAAUACCGGAUACGACCUCCACGGGCAUCUGCGGAGGUGGAAAGUUUUUCGGCUGAGGAUGGGCCCGCGGCCUAUCAGCUAGUUGGUGGGGUGAUAGCCCACCAAGGCGACGACGGGUA
rnacentral:rRNA from 1 species